AACCGGUUCUCGGCUAGGGAGAAGGACGGGAGCGGUGGGAAGAGCGAGGGUGUAGAGAGGGAAGUUAGGGCUUUCGCUUUCUCCCCCCACUCCAGCGGCGGCGUUCGGUCCUCUGGGUGGAAUGUGCUCGCAGCAGCAGUGACGGCGGCCACAGCACGGGAGGCACCCGAGCCAUACACCCUGCAGCUGGAGAGAAAAGGAUGGCCGAGGUGGGAGAGACUAGAGUGAACCAGCAGGAGGAAGUCCCAGGGCCGCGAAGCUACGACGGAGAUCCGUCCUGGAAAAGCCUUCUCCACCCUGGGCACUUUAAGCGGCGGUGGCGGCAAACGGCAGGAGGUUGCAGACCCGACAGCGAGACUCCCUCAUUCCAGUCUUGCUCUGCCCUCCGGAGAUGACAAGUGAGAAAGAAGUGUCCGGCCGGGCCAUCCCCUUCAGAGAAGCAACCACUUCACAAGAAGAUUCUGAAGUUGGCCAUUUUUGAUCCCAGAACAGUUUCUCAUAGAUUAGAAAUAUUGGAGUCUACACAAAAAUCGAUAUUCAUUUACAAGAUCAUCACUAAACUUAUCUUGCAUAACGUCUCUGCCAGCCACAUUAACUGCCUGCAGAAAAGUUUGUUAUGACUGCCUGGUUUUGUAAAGUCCAGACAACUUUACACUAAGCUGAAUAAUGUUCAUUUACUCAAAAGCUAGUCUAAAAUUGUAGAGUUAAUGAACACUAAACCAAAGUUAGUGCUUUAACUGAAAGAUAAUUUACUGUACCCUUUGGAGUCCAGUCCGGUACCAUCAAGAUCUGGGAAAAUACAACUGGUAAGCACUUUAACUUUUUCUCAGAAAAUCAUUAUCUACUUCCUUCAUACUUACUUAACAUCUCAAGAAAAGGAAAGAAAGGGGGAAAAUAUCUAAAAUUUUAAUCUAAAUCUUUCUUAAACUGUGCAUUUCAAAUACAUAAAAUACUGUGUGAAAGGGUGUUAAAAGUAGUAUCUAGAAAUGGCUUCCAACUCUAUAACUUGGUGUAAGCCUUGUGGAAAGUAAUUUACCAACGACUGUCAAAAUUCACAAAUCUAAAGACUGUAGCAAGACUCUUGAGAUACCUUGUAACUAUUGGCAUGAUUCCUUUCUACUACAAUGAAAGUUUCUUCAGGGCAGGAAACACAUAUAUUCAUUUCUGUAUCCACAGAGUAAGCAAAGAUUCUGGGACAUACUGUCCUUCAUACGCGUAUUUCGAAUGAACGAAGGCUCCAUUUGGUAGUAUUUAUCAUCAGCUUCUUGGCCCUUACUACUCCCUUCUUUCAUUUAAAGCUUAUGUCUUAUGUCCUCUUCCCUGCCCAGCACUCUUUUUGGCUGUAUGCCUGAUAAGGGUGCUCUUCAGCUUGGCCUCCUUUGACUCUAUUCCUUCCCUGUUCUACUUUUAGAGUCUCAAUAAACUCUUGUUUCUUAUAGUGGAAAAAUGCAUUUAUAAAUCAAGACUGGGCAUUAAAUUUGCUCACUGCUGCUCAGGCAUUGUUGCUCCCGUGUCCAGUUGCUCCCAGUGAGCCACUCUAUUGGAGUUGGUCCCACAGUCAAGACCCUACUUUUCCCUAGCUCUAGCCUAGAAACUUGUCACCAGAGCAUUAAUCUACAUUUUAGAGAGGAUUACCUACCAAAAAAAAGUAUCAUUUUUCCUGAAUAAGUAAUAUGUUCUAGAAUCAGUGUGUGAUCCUCUCAGCUUCCUUUUUGGAAACCAAAUGAUGGUUCUCCUGGAGAAAGAAUUUGAGUAGAUGUUGAAACAAUUUAGGCUAUACAAUAGAGUCCUACUUGAUAGAAGAGUUAGAUUUUGAAAUCAGCAUAUAAGGUAAGAAGCACCUAAUGUCAAAUUUGCACUUGAAAAAAAUUCCUAAACUGUGCACACAUUGCAGUAAACCAUGAUUUUGUGGAUCCCUUCCUAUACAGCAACGUGCAUAUAUAGAUGUGCAUAGAAAGUAUGUGCCAUCUUACAAUAUUUUCAGUAUUUUAAUUAAGUUGAAUUUAAAUAAAUAAAAUACUCACAUGCUAUAACUCUGCUGUUUUAAGAACACUGUUACCAAUUCACUACAUUUACAUGAUGCCUAAAUAGCCAGCCAAUGCAGAAAGGUCAGUUAGAAAAUGAGGCCAGUGCUUGCCUCUCUUUCUUUCCAUUGAAAGGGUGUUACUGAGUGUCAGGGUCCACACAAAGCGGGAGCUAGAGUGGGCAUGAAGGCAGUUUGAUGGGAGUCAGGGUCUAUAGAGGGAGGGCUGCUGAGCAGGGCAGAGGCCUGGUAGAAUCAGAUGCUUGGCUCCACACAGGGAGUCCACUUUCCUAAUGCUGGAGAAGGUACAAACAUGGAAAGAGGAAAAGUUGAGAUGAAUGAUGUGUUAUUAGAUUGGAAUUGGAAGAGUGGAUAUAUAAAUAUAUAUGACAUGUAAAUAAACAUGGAUUUAAGUGUGUGUCUGUAUGUAUCCAUUGAAGGGACCUGGGAGCAACAAUGCCUGAGCAGCAAUGAGCAAGUUUAAUGCCCAGUCUUGAUUUCUAAAUGCUUUCCACUAUAAGAAACAAGAGUUUAUUGAGACUCUGAAAGCAGAACAGGGGAAGAAUAAGGAGCUUUGAACAUGUUGGGCCAGAAGGUAAGAAAGUUCUCAGAAAAACAAUGAGAACAUGACCAAAGGAUCCAGGAGCCACCUUGAAGGAGCUCCUACUGACCAAAUCUGGAACAACUUAAGCAUAUAAAUAAGUAAUGAGAGUAGUGGAUUAUAAUCCACUGCAUAAAGAGGAACCCAUGAAUCCACAAUUAUAUAGUAAGUAAAUAGAUAAAUGGGAAGAAAAUAAAUGGGUAAGAGAUUAUUUCUUAAAUUAGAAUGCCAAGUAAUAAAUACAAAAGGAAUUCAAGCAAGACAUCAAUAAAUACUAAAAUUAGUGGAUGAAAGUGAGAUGAGAAACAGAAUUUUACAGAGUUUCAAAGUAUCUUUCUACAAAAUGUUUAAUUACAAAGGGAGAAAAAGUUAACAUUAUAGUGGAGAAACCUAACAGACACUAUCUGAUGAAGUGAUCAAAGUUAACACUCCCAGUAAUUGGAAAAAUCAGUAUCAUAUGUCACCUAAUCAAAUGCAAUGAGAAAAACACAACAUCACUUCUCUAAAAUUUAUAACCUGGUUAUAAUCAAGAGGAAACAUUGGACAACAGAAAUUUGGAGAACUUCUAUUGAAUAACUGACCUUGGAAAAUGUCAAGGCCAUGAAAGUCAAGUAGAGAUUGCAGAACUCAUUCAGACUAAAAGGAGAUAGAGAGACAUGGCAGACAAUGGAGUGUAACGUCUUCUCCUGAACUGGACCUUUUUACUAUAAAGACAUGAGAACAACUGGCAAAACUUGAAUCGGGUCUCUGGGAGAAGUAUAUUCAGGAGUCCACCAUACUGUUCAUGCAAAUUUAUUAAAUUCAUUCAUGUAAAUUUUCUGUAAGUUUGAAAAUGAAAAAAUAAAACCCACUUUAUUCUUAUUAAUUCUUUUUUUAGGCUCUCACUGUGCAGCUCUAAAGUUAUAUAAGCCAAGAAAGGGACAUUAAUGGGAAAUUAAUGACAGCAUCAAUAAAAUGGAAAAGAAGAUGAACUAAUUACAUAACAUCAACCAAUCAGUUUUUUCAAAACAGGUUUUACUGUUUGGGGUUUGUCUACUCUGUUGGCAUCCUGUAGGCACCAGCUUUGCCUAUUCACAUUUUCCUUUCACGUAGCUUGUGUACCCAUUUUAAACACAGCAAAAGAUACUUUGAGAAUACCUUCUGCACUACUUUUAUCUUUUAUUUUCUUUCCUUUUCUUCUUACCUUCCUUCCUACUCUCCUUUAUUUUUGGAAGCUGCAUUCACCCUACUGGAAGAACCUAUUCUGAACAUAAAGUAAUUUGCCUCAUCCUGCUUAUCCCCAUGACAAAUAGUUUAAGUAGCAUCUGGUGAGACAAGAGAAAAGAGUAACUAUACAUUUACCCUUCUGCACCCUCAUCUUCUACCCAGCUGUCUCUCCUCCCUUUUCCUCUUUAUCAAUAUUUUCCCCUUCUUUGGACCAACUAUUUAAACUGUUCUUAAAAUUUAUUAAAUAGAAGUGGACCUCCAGCAAUUUUUCUUGCUCCUAUAAUCUAAAGUAUUCAAACUCCUCACUUGAAACAUGAAAGAAAAUCAGGAUGUAAACGUUCCCCUUUUUAAACUUUUUUAUUUUCUAAACCAUCUUCCUCUGCAUAAAGUCAGUCUGCCACUCUAAACAGCACUUGUCAGGAAUGUGUGAAGUUAUUAAAAGAGAAGGAACUUUAGAAGAUCUAAAUUCAAAUUACCUUGACUACCAUUCUUUAGUAAUAAAAGGGGAGAUAGAAAGAAGACAGAAACCACCAGAUUUUCUAAAAUCUCCAGCAAUAUUCAUCCAUCUAAAGCAUCUGAGAAACAAUGACCCAAGUUAUAUUGGGAGAGAUAUUUUAGCUCUCUUGCCUGAAUCUAACUCACAGAAACUGGGGAAAUAUCAAAAAUCACUUAUUCUAAAUGUUUCGGUCAAGAAGUGUUUUGGAUUUCAGAUUUUGGAAUAUUUGCAUAUACAUAGUGAGAUAUCUUAGGGGUGGGACCCAAGUCUAAACACAAAAUUCAUUUAUGUUUUAUAUGCCCUUUAAACACCAUAGCCUGAAGUUAAUUUAAUAUAAUAUUUUUAAUAGUUUUGUGCAUGAAACAAAGUUUUGACUGUUUGACUGUAACCCAUUACCUAAAGUCAGGUGUGGAAUUUUCCACUUGUUACCUGGAGUGCAUCAUGUUGGCAUUGAAAUAGUUUUGGAUUUUGGAGCAUCGGAUUUCAGAUUUUUGGAUUAAGGAUGUUCAACCUGUAUUAGAUAGCCUGGUGCUUUUCUCCUCAUAAUCACUCCAAUAAUAAUGAAAGGAUAAUCAUAAAGAUGACAACAAUUACAACAAAGAUGAUAAAAAAAAUUAAGCCACUUGGCAACACUAUUUGUGGCCUCAUGAAAAUGACUCCCAAUGUCAUAAUUCCCUCUGAGAUCCCCACAAUAAAAAACUAUUGGAACUAGAACUGCAUACCGCAGUUAUUGGUCAUUUCACAUGGUGCCAUGUUCAGGCAUAGCUGGUAUGAGUGCUAUUUGCUUUCAUCCAGGGGAGCCAUUCUCAGUAAGCUUCAUCUCUGUGCUGAUGAGAGCCUGGGUCUGUUCUUCUAGCCCAGGAUCUUCACAUCUCUCAAAGGACUGCAGCUCUCCUUAGAUAUUCUGUGUACCACAGGAAGGGGCUGUACCAAUUUACAGCAAUCUCUUUUCAACAUGGUAACUAAUGCAAGUAUUAGACCACAAGGCUUCUCUUUGGAAACUUGUCCAAAGGCUGUCAUCUCUGCUAUUCAUUCAUUCAUUCAUUUAGUCAACAAAUAUUUAUUAAGCAACAAACGUGUGCAAGGCACUGUUCUUGGCAUAGUGAACAAAACAGAUUAAAAUUCUGAUCUUGUGGAACUUGCAUUCUAAUAAGGGAGACAAUUUUUUUUUAAAAUGAAGUAAAAUAGAUAGGGCGAUAGGGAGUGCUGGGCCCAGGAAGAAAGGGUUACAAUACUAAAUAUGAUAGUUAGGGAAGCCCUCAAAUUUGAACAAGGAUCUGCAGGAAGUGAAGUAUGUUGAUAUCUGGGGAAGAGGGAACAACAAAAGCAAAGGAAUUGAUACAGGAAUGUUGCUGGUGUCUGAGAUAUGGCAAGCAGGUCUGGGUGGCCAGAGAGGAGUAAAGUAGGAAAAAAGGAAAAGUAGGUGGGGUUGGAAAAAUAAUGGGGAGCCAAGACUGGGUAAGGUUUUGUAGGCUAUUGUAAGUACUUAGACUUCUACUAAGUGAUGGAAAGCAACUGAUAAAAGUUGACUUUCAAUUGGAAAGAGCCAUGAAAGUUGAUGGAUGGUCAACUUUUGACCUGAGGAAUGACAUGACCUAUUGUAGGUUUUAGAAAAGUCCUUCCGGUAGAUUUAAUGAACAUUCACUGAAAGAUAAAAAAGAGGGUAAUUGAAAUAAUCCAUGCAAGAGAUGAUUGUAGCUUGGAUAAGGAUGGUAGUAGAGGGGUGGUGAGAAGUGGUAAGAGUUUUGCUGAAGGAUUAUACAUGGGUUGUAGGUAAGAAACCUCAAGGUUGAUACCAGGAUGUUUGAUCUGAGCAGCUAGAUGGAUGAAGUUGACAUUUAUCGCAGGACAGUUCCCUGAAUGGCCCUGGACCCACCCAGUUCUCCCCCUUUCUUGUUUACAGUUACCAAGAAUAACUGUAAAAUGUGCUGGGAAUGCAAUGUCCUGAGAUAAGGAAGAACUGCCUGAAACAGCCUGGAUCUUAUUCCUGUACUUCCUAGGGAAUGUAACAUCUCAAGUUAAAGAGGAACUGCCCGGAACAGCCCGGGGAUUGUUCCUCUCUCCUGAGAAGGAAGAUUACCUCCAAAGCUCAUCCACUGAGUCACACUGCCCCUGUGGUGGAGGGCGGGCUGCCUUUCCAGGUUCCUCAGCUGUGGUGUAACUGAAGCAGGCACAAUCAAGACUCCAUCUGCUCGAGGCAGCUUUCUCGAACCUUGGGGAACCUACUCACAAUGGAUCACAGGCUUCUUUUGUUUUGUUUCUUGCUGCCUAUCUUGGGAAGCAAAAAUCAGCUGAGUGAAGAUGAGGAAGAAGGUGUUAAAGGUUUGAAGAAAAAAGGAAAAGGAUAUACUAAUCUAAGAGGACAAGUAAGUAGAACAUAGAUAAUGAAAAUGCUGGCCCUUAGGACUGUUGGGCCUAAAUGCUCAUAUUAUAUUGGUAGUCACAAAUUUGAACUUUCUCUAGAGCCAAUUUUUGCAUGUGUGUGCAGGCCUGGAGUAGUUGGAGAGUUGGAUUUAAUAGAAUUGAGGGUCAAGCAACUACAACCAGGGAAGAGUGGGACAAGGGAGAUAAAGGAUAUUGGCAGGGGAGCAAUUAUAAACAUGGACCAUGAUCAAAACUGGACAGGAAGGAAAAUAGAGAUAAGAGGGGUGGAAGGUUAAAAAUAGUGAAAAUGAGAUAGAAUGAAUAGGUUGUAGGUCCCUGUAAAGUUGAAGAAGUAUUAUUAUGCAGUACUCGUUAUUGAAAUGAGGUCACUAUGCUUAAGGCACAGUGAAUCCUAGAAAAUAGUGGUUUUGUUUCUCAUUAGGCAAUACAUUCCUCCUUGCUCCAGAAUGCAACAUACAUGUAUCCUUUUCUGUACUAUUUUUUAUUAAGAAUUCAUACUUAAUUCCACUGACUGCCACUCAAUUUUAAUGUACAGUAGGGAAUUCCUGUACUAUGUAUUAUGAAUCCAUUCCUUUGAAUUUCAUUUAUAAUACUUCAUGACUGACACCUGGCUUUCCACCAAGACUCAAUUUUCAUAGCAAGCCUCAUCAUCAUAAGCCCCCAAAUUAACAGGAUGAGGAGGAAGAAUUGGCAGGCUAAAGAAGAUGAUUAUAUCAAUUAAUGCAGAAAAAGCAUUUGAUAAAAUCCAAUAUUCAUUUGUAAUUAAAAACUCUCAGCAAGUUAGGGAUAGGAAUUACUUCAACUUAAUGAAGAGUGUCUUUAAAAACCUUAUUUUCAUCAGUUAUAACAAAUGUACCACUCUGGUGGUGAAUGUUGCUAAGGAGGGAAGCUAUACAUGUGUGGGGAAAGGAGAUGUGUGAGCAAUUUCUGUACCUUCUACUCAAUCUUCUGUGAGACUAAAAUUGCUGUAAAAAAUAAAGUUCAUUUUUUUAAAAACCUACAGCUGUCAUUCUUAAUGCUGAAAGACAGAAUGCUUUUCUCUAAGAUAGGGAACAAGGCAAAGAUUCAGUUCUCACCACUCCUAUUCAACACAGCACUACAAGUUCUAGCCACUGAAAUGGGGGUUGGGGGGAAGCAGAAGAAGAAAAGAAAUAAAAUGUAUACAGUUUCAAAAGGAAGAAUUAAAAUAGUCCCUGUGUGCAGAUGACAUGAUUGUCUAUUUAGUAAACCCAUGGAUUAUACAAAAAUAAAAUUCCGAGAACUUAAAAAGUGAUUUCAGCAAGAUCACAGGAUAUAAGAUCGAGAUGAAAACCAAUGUCAUUUCUAUAUACAGUAAGUCCUCUCUCUUAAUAUCAUCAAUAGGUUCUUGGAAACUGACUUUAAGCAAAACAACAUAAAACUAAACCCAAUUUUUCAUCAUCAAAGUUAUAACAAAAUGAUGUUGAACAAAACUACAUUAUUUCAGGACCUGCCAUACAUCAUGUCACUUAAAAUUACAGUUUCUAAGAACCUACCAAUGGCAUUAUGUGAGAAUUACUGUAGUAACAAUAAACGUAUGAAAACCAAAAUUAAAACACAUUUACAAUCAACCCAAGGAAAAUGAAAUAUUGAGGUAUAAACUUAAUGUUUUAUGAGGCAACUUAAUGAGGCAAAAAAAUGUAUACUAUCUGAUGCUGAAAAUUGCAAAUGCUGAUGAAAGAAAUCAGUGAUGACAAAUAAACAGAGAGACAUACUAUAGUCACAAAUUGGAAGACUCAACAUAGUAAAAAUGUCAAUUUGCCUCAAAGUAAUCUGUAGGUAUAAGACAAUUAUCAAAAUUCAGGGAAGUUUUUUGUAGGCAUUGGCUAGCCUAUUCUAAAAUUUAUAUGAAAAGCACAAACCUUAGAAUAUCUAAGAUAAUCUGAAAAGAAGAAUAAAGUGAGAGGAAUCACUCUACCUGAUAUUAAGCUUUAUAAUACAGUAACAGUACUCAAGACUGUGUGGUAUUUGCCAAGGCAUGGACUCAGAUCAAUGGAACAGAAGAGAAAACACAGGAAUAGACCCAUAUAAACAUUUCCAACUGAUUGUUUUCCAAUCGAUUUGUGACAAAAGUGCAGAAGUAAUUCAGUGAAGGAAGGAUAGCCUUGCAACAAGUUGUGCUGAAGCAGUGAGCACCCAUAGGCAAAAAGAAAAAGAGAACAUCAACCUUAACCUCACAUCUUAUACAAAAAUUAAUCCAAAAUUGAUAAUAGACUUAAAUGUAAAAUAUAAAACAUUUCACAAAAAUAGAAGAAAGUCUUCAGGAUCUAGGACUAGGCAAAUAAUUCUUAAAUGAUAUCAAAAGCAUAAUUCAUAAAGGGAAAAGUUGAUAAAUUAGACCUCAUUAAAAUUAAAAACUUAUGGAAAAUGUGCUGUUAAGAGGAUAAAAAAUAUAAGCUACAGACUGAAAGAAAAUAUUUGCAAGCCACAUAACUGACAAAGGACUAGUAUCUAGAAUAUAUAAAGAAUUUUCAAUACUCAGUUGUAAAAACAAAAUAAUUCAACCAGAAAAUUGAUAUGAGCAAACAUGUCACUGAAGAGGAUGUACAGAUGGCAAAAAUGCAUGUAAAAAGAUUUCAACUUCAUAAACCGUUAGGGAAAUGUGAAUUAAGCAACCAAUCAGAAUGGUUAAAAUGUUUAAAAAAUAGUAACACCACCAAAUAUUGGCAAGGAUAUAAAGGAAUCGAAUCACUCAUGCAUUGCUAGUAAAAAAUGUAAAGAGGUACAGCCACACUGGGAAACCUUUUCAUGGUUUUCUAAAAACUAAGCAUGGAGUUACCAUACAUCCCAGCAGUUCUACUCAUCAGCAUUUAUCCCAGAGAAAUAAAAAUUUAUGUUUACACUAAAACCUAUAUAUGAAUGUUCAUAAUAGCAUUUUUCAUAGUAGCCAAAAAUUGGAACCGUCUCAGGUGUCCUACCAUGGGUGAAUGGUUAAACAAACUAUGGUGCAUCUAUAUCUACCAUGAAGUAGAACUCAGCAAUAAAAAGGAAUGAACUAUUCAUACACCUUAUAACUUGGAUGCAUCUCCAGGUAAUUGUGCUGAGUGAAAAAAAAAAAAAAAAGCCCCAAUUCCAAAAGGUUAUAUACUCUAUGAUUCUACUUCUGCAAUGUUUAUUAAAUGAUAAAAUUACAGAAGUGGGAAAAUGAUUAGUGGUUUCCAGGGGGUAUAUACAGUAAGGGUGAGAGGGCCGGAAGAGUGCAGUUUUAUAAGGGCAACAUAAGGGACCCUUAUGGUGAUGGGACUGUUCUGUAUCUUGACUCUGUUGGUAGUCACAUGAAUCUACACAUGAUAAAAUUGCAUAGAAUUAAACAUAUAUACACACUCAAAUGAAUGCAUGUAAAACCGGUAAAAUCUGAAUAAGGUAAAUGGAUCAUAAUCAAUGUCAAUUUUCCAUUUGUGAUAUUAUACUAUAGUUAUGUAAGAUGAUGUUAGCAUUGGGAGAAACUGGGUGAUGGAUAUACAGAAUCUUUCUGUAUUAUUUCUUGUAAUUGCAUAUGUAUCUCAAUGGUCUCAAAAUAAAAAGUUAAAUAAAUAAGAGAGACCAAAAAGUGGCUUUCCAGUGGAGAACUGAGAUAAUCUGAGCAUCUUAUGCUCUAAAUAAAGUAUGCAAUAAAAAUAAAAUAUAUAUAUAUAUAUAUAUAUAUAUCUGUAAGUCAUAUUGAAAGUUACACACCAUUUUGGGGAAAAGUCAAGUAAAAACAGCAGUAUACACUAUUAGCUUUAACAUUAGGCUUUGAGACUAUCUCUGGCCUUUUCUCUGGCCAAAGGGAAAGAAAUCCUCAGAUCUACUCUGAAGCCUUUCUUAGACUGAGAAGCCUCUGAUAGCAUUUCAAAGCAGCUUAGUGCCAAACAUUCUUUGAGCAUCCAGUAAGAGUCUGUUUGCAACUUAAUAGAAAGAUUUUUUAAGUUGCCUUUUGACUAUACACAAUGAGUUCUCUUUUUAUCUGGUUCCUGAUUACUCUCUGACCUUUAUCAUACAAAGAAAGAUCUUUCAGCCUAUUCCAAUCUGUACUAAAAUUCAGAUAAGAGGAAGCAUCCUCAAAGCUGGAUUAUCUGACUCUGAAGCCAGCGUGAUCCUCCUACUGCCUUCAGCAGCUUUUCGUAGUGUUCAGCCAGAACUGACAUUUCUACAUUCUACACUGCCAGCCUUUAAUGACCUCUCUCAUCUCCAAACUUCUAUAACAAUUAUUACCUAUACUAUGCAAUAAAAAACACUCAUUUUAAGUAUAAGUUUAAUGCCAUGUUGACAAAUGAAUUCAGCCCUGUGUGACCAUUGUCAUAAUCAAGUAACAGAACAUUUCCAUCACCCUAAAAAGUUCCCUUGGCCUCUUGCUCUUUUCCCCAGCCCCAGGCAACCAUUAUUUUGCUUUUUAUCACUAUAGUUUUGUCUGUUCUAGAAUUUUACUUAAGUGAAAGCAAAAGUGAAUAUUCUUUUGUCAUCUGGCUUCUUUAAAUUCUUCAGCAUAAUUUUUUAUAUUUAUGCAGUUCUUCUUAUCAGUUUAUUUUUAUUGGUGAGUAGUAGUCUUUUGUUAUAUAAGUUAUAUAAGUGGUAUUAUAUUUUGUUUAUUCAUUUACCUGUUCUUGGAUGUUGAGUCACCGCAAGUUUUGGACUAUUACAAAUAAAGCUGAUAUGAAUAUUCAUGUAUGAGUCUUUGUAUGCCAUCAUAUGCUUUCAUUUCUCUUGGGUAAAUAACUAGAAGUGGAAUGACUGGAUCUAAUGGUAAGUGUAUAUUUGUUUAAUAUACACUUUAUAAAUACUCGAGCAUUUAUAAAGUAUUUUACAUUCCCAUCAACAACACAUGAGAGUUAGCAUUCUUGCUAACACUUGCUUAUUCUUUUUAUUGUAGCCAUUCUGGUGUGUGUAUAGUUAUCUAUCAUAUGGUUCUAAAUUACAUUUUCCUGAUGACUAAUAAUGUUGCACAUCUUUGUAUGUGCUUACCAGCUUCCAUAUGUCUUUUUAUUUUUUGAGAGUUCUCACUAUAUUUCCCAGGCUGAUCUGAAACUCCAGGGCUCAACCAACCCUCCUGCUUCAGUCUCCAGAGUAACUGGGAUUACAGGUACAUACCACCAUGCCCAGCUCAUAUAUUUUCUUUUGUGAAGUUAUGCUAAAAUCUUCUGCUUAUUUUUAAUUGGGUUGUUUCUCUUCUUAUGACUGAGUUUAUAUAUUAUGGAUAAAAUUCUUUGUCAGGUACACAGAUUAUUAAAAAUUACCUCCCAAUUCAUGGCUUACUUUUUGUUUUGCUUACGAAUGUCUUUGAAAAUCAAUGUUUUCAUUUUAAUAAGAUCCAAUUUAUCAUUUUUUUUAAGUUUUGCUAUUAGCCAUUUUGUCUUCUAUGAAAAUUUUGCCUACCCCAACGUCAUGAAGAUUUUCUCCUAUGCUUUUGUCUAGAUGUGUUAUAGUUACAUCAUUUAUAUUUAGUGCUAGGAUGCAUUCUAAAUUUCUUUUGAUUCAAAAAUAAUAAUAAAAACCAGAGCUCAACACCCUUUGUCUCCAUUAAUAUGAAACUUAUUUUAAGUGAACCUGUUAGAGGAUCUAUGUUUUAUUUUAAAAAACAAAGAAUUACCAACAAUGUAAUAAAUAAGAACAUUAAGAUCUAUCAAUGAGGGUUUCAAAUAUGUAAACUGUUUAGAUUUUUAGAAAACUGCCUAGAUUUCACAUCUACCAAGGCAAAAGCAUUAACUGUAAGAAUUUGCACCUUAAUUGUGCGCUCUUCAAGAAUUCCACCUCUGGUUCUGUCUUUGCUCUUGAAAUUCUCACAGCUCAAUAGGUUUUGCAUAGAAGACAUGAGAACAGGAGGGCUCAAUAGCAAUUCUCCCCUUUUCCUGUAGUCAAGAGUUAGAAGAACCAUUACACAAUCAGUAAAUUCUAAACCUUCUGCAUUUGUUCUCCUUCCUCUUCUCUGAUGUUCUAUUUUCAGUGAUUUAUCCUCUGAAAUGGGUUAGUCUCAGAAAAUGUAAGAGGGAAUUUCACAAUCAGGAAAAGCAUUUGUAAUAUUGAUUCUUUUUAAAAUGUAUGUGAAAACACAUAUGAAUAAGCACUUCGCUUUUUUUUUUUUUUUUUUUUUUGAGACAGAGUCUCGCUUUGUUGCCCAGGCUGGAGUGCAGUGGCGCGAUCUCGGCUCACUGCAACCUCCGCCUCCCGAGUUGAAGCAAUUCUCCUGCCUCAGCCCCCU
rnacentral:lncRNA from 1 species